UACGUAGGGGGCGAGCGUUGUCCGGAUUUAUUGGGCGUAAAGGGCACGCAGGCGGUCUUGUCAGUUUCGAGUGACAGGUGGUGGCUUAACUGCCACAGGCCUCGAAAGACGGCAAGACUUGAGGGCUUGAGAGGGACGCGGAAUUCCAGGUGGAGCGGUGAAAUGCGUAGAGAUGCGGAGGAACACCGAUGGCGAAGGCAGCCCCCUGGGAU
rnacentral:rRNA from 1 species